rnacentral:rRNA from 1 species
ACUUUUGGACGGGGAACCCCGGGAACUGGGGCUAAUCCCAAAUAGAUGAGAACUCCUGGAACGGGUUCUCGUCCAAAAGGCGUCUAGGUCAUGCUUCUAGGCGUCGCUCAAGGAUGGGGCCGCGCCCGAUCAGGCUGUUGGUGAGGCAACGGCUCACCAAACCUUUAACCGGUACGGGCCGUGGGAGCGGGUGCCCGGAGAUGGGAACUGAGACAAGGUCCCAGGCCCUACGGGGCGCAGCCGUUGCGAAAACUCGUCAAUGCACGAAAGUGUGAACGGGCUACCCCGAGUGCUGUCCGCUGAGGAUGGCUUUUCUCUGCUGUAAGGAGGCGGAGGAAUAAGGAGAGGGCAAGUCUGGUGUCAGCCGCCGCGGUAAUACCAGCUCUCCGAGUGGUGGGGAUGUUUAUUGGGCCUAAAGCGUCCGUAGCCUGCCCUUCAAGUCUUUCGUUAAAUCCAGCGAUUCAAUCGUUGGACUGCGGGAGAUACUGUUGGGCUAGGGGGCGGGAGAAGCCGACGGUAUUUCCGGGGUAGGGGUAAAAUCCUAUAAUCCCGGGAGGACCACCAGUGGCGUAGGCGGUCGGCUAGCACGUGCUCGACGGUGAGGGACGAAAGCUGGGGGAGCAAACCGGAUUAGAUACCCGGAUAGUCCCAGCUGUAAACGAUGCGGGCUAGGUGUUGGGGUGGCCACGAGCCACUUCAGUGCCGCAGGGAAGCCAUUAAGCCCGCCGCCUGGGGAGUACGGCCGCAAGGCUGAAACUUAAAGGAAUUGGCGGGGGAGCAC